AGUGUUCGUCUGACUAAGAAUGACCAACCCCAAAUCAAUGGCAGGACCAAGAUGGGUUCCAAGCCGUACCGCUCACUCGUGGAAAGCCUGAUGUACCAGACGUGUGGUACAUGACCCGACAUCCCUGAGUUGCUCGUGCGUACGAUCCGUUUUCUUUGAGUCGCGUUGUUUGGGAAUGCAGCGCAAAGUAGGUGGUAAACUCCAUCAAAAGCCGAAUAUUGGUGCGAGACCGAUAGCGAACAAGUACCGUGAGGGAAAGAUGAAAGUAACUUUGAAAAGAGAGUUAAGGAGUACCUGAAACUGCUGAAAGGGAACCGAAUCGUUUACAGUGUCUAUAAUCCGCGGUAUAUUGCAUUGGCGAGUGUGUACAUACGUGUGCUGUGACAGCGGCUUUUUUGGCUGCGCUCGGCGUGUGUGCUGUGUGUACUUGCUGGUGCCCUGUGCUGCGGUGGUACGCCAAGGUCCGCUCAACUGAUCAACGGGCUUCCUGGAAAAUCCGGGAUAGAAGCACUGGGGUGCUGGCAUCAGGGUGGUGUGAUACCAGUUGAAAACCAA
rnacentral:ncRNA from 1 species